UGAACGCUGGCGGCGUGCCUAAUACAUGCAAGUCGAGCGAACAGACGAGGAGCUUGCUCCUCUGACGUUAGCGGCGGACGGGUGAGUAACACGUGGAUAACCUACCUAUAAGACUGGGAUAACUUCGGGAAACCGGAGCUAAUACCGGAUAAUAUAUUGAACCGCAUGGUUCAAUAGUGAAAGACGGUUUUGCUGUCACUUAUAGAUGGAUCCGCGCCGCAUUAGCUAGUUGGUAAGGUAACGGCUUACCAAGGCGGCGAUGCGUAGCCGACCUGAGAGGGUGAUCGGCCACACUGGAACUGAGACACGGUCCAGACUCCUACGGGAGGCAGCAGUAGGGAAUCUUCCGCAAUGGGCGAAAGCCUGACGGAGCAACGCCGCGUGAGUGAUGAAGGUCUUCGGAUCGUAAAACUCUGUUAUUAGGGAAGAACAAAUGUGUAAGUAACUAUGCACGUCUUGACGGUACCUAAUCAGAAAGCCACGGCUAACUACGUG
rnacentral:rRNA from 1 species